UUUCCUAUGCAUAUACUUCUU
rnacentral:ncRNA from 2 species